rnacentral:rRNA from 1 species
GGGAACGUACCUUUUGGUUCGGAACAACACAGGGAAACUUGUGCUAAUACCGGAUAAGCCCUUACGGGGAAAGAUUUAUCGCCGAAAGAUCGGCCCGCGUCUGAUUAGCUAGUUGGUAGGGUAACGGCCUACCAAGGCGACGAUCAGUAGCUGGUCUGAGAGGAUGAUCAGCCACAUUGGGACUGAGACACGGCCCAAACUCCUACGGGGGGCAGCAGUGGGGAAUAUUGGACAAUGGGGGCAACCCUGAUCCAGCCAUGCCGCGUGAGUGAUGAAGGCCCUAGGGUUGUAAAGCUCUUUUGUGCGGGAAGAUAAUGACGGUACCGCAAGAAUAAGCCCCGGCUAACUUCGUGCCAGCAGCCGCGGUAAUACGAAGGGGGCUAGCGUUGCUCGGAAUCACUGGGCGUAAAGGGUGCGUAGGCGGGUUUUUAAGUCAGAGGUGAAAUCCUGGAGCUCAACUCCAGAACUGCCUUUGAUACUGGGAAUCUUGAGUAUGGAAGAGGUGAGUGGAACUGCGAGU